rnacentral:rRNA from 1 species
AUUGAACGCUGGCGGCAGGCCUAACACAUGCAAGUCGAACGGUAACAGGAAGCAGCUUGCUGCUUUGCUGACGAGUGGCGGACGGGUGAGUAAUGUCUGGGAAACUGCCCGAUGGAGGGGGAUAACUACUGGAAACGGUAGCUAAUACCGCAUAACGUCGCAAGACCAAAGAGGGGGACCUUAGGGCCUCUUGCCAUCGGAUGUGCCCAGAUGGGAUUAGCUAGUAGGUGGGGUAACGGCUCACCUAGGCGACGAUCCCUAGCUGGUCUGAGAGGAUGACCAGCCACACUGGAACUGAGACACGGUCCAGACUCCUACGGGAGGCAGCAGUGGGGAAUAUUGCACAAUGGGCGCAAGCCUGAUGCAGCCAUGCCGCGUGUAUGAAGAAGGCCUUCGGGUUGUAAAGUACUUUCAGCGGGGAGGAAGGGAGUAAAGUUAAUACCUUUGCUCAUUGACGUUACCCGCAGAAGAAGCACCGGCCAACUCCGUG